rnacentral:rRNA from 1 species
AACGAACGCUGGCGGCAUGCCUAACACAUGCAAGUCGAACGAGACCUUCGGGUCUAGUGGCGCACGGGUGCGUAACGCGUGGGAACCUGCCCUUAGGUUCGGAAUAACUCCCCGAAAGGGGUGCUAAUACCGGAUAAUGCCUUCGGACCAAAGAUUUAUCGCCUUUGGAUGGGCCCGCGUUGGAUUAGCUAGUUGGUAGGGUAAAAGCCUACCAAGGCGACGAUCCAUAGCUGGUCUGAGAGGAUGAUCAGCCACACUGGGACUGAGCCACGGCCCAGACUCCUACGGGAGGCAGCAGUGGGGAAUAUUGGACAAUGGGCGGAAGCCUGAUCCAGCAAUGCCGCGUGAGUGAUGAAGGCCUUAGGGUUGUAAAGCUCUUUUACCCGGGAUGAUAAUGACAGUACCGGGAGAAUAAGCUCCGGCUAACUCCGUG